GAUGAACGCUGGCGGCGUGCCUAAUACAUGCAAGUCGAGCGAACAGACGAGGAGCUUGCUCCUCGGACGUUAGCGGCGGACGGGUGAGUAACACGUGGAAAACCUACCUAUAAGACGGGGAUAACUUCGGAAAACCGGAUCUUAUACCGUAAAAGAUAUUGAACCACAAGGUUCAAUAGUAAAAUACGGUUUUACCAUUACUAGUAGAUCGUGCGUUGCCGUAUUAGCUAGUUGGGAAGGUAACGCCUUACAAAGGCAACGAUUCGAAGCCGACCUGGGAGGGUGAUCGGCAACACUGGAACUGAGACACGGUCAAGACUCCUACGGGAGGAAGAAGUAGGGAAUCUCCGGAAAUGAGCGAAGGCCUACCGGGGAACGCCGGCGUGAGUGAUGAAGGUCUUCGGAUCGUAAAACUCUGUUAUUGAGGAAGAACAAAUGUGUAAGUAACUAUGCACGUCUUGACGGUACCUAAUCAGAAAGCCACGGCUAACUACGUG
rnacentral:rRNA from 1 species